UUUUUUGAGGGGUUUUUUUUGGGGGGGGGGGGGGGCCUCCCCCCUUCCUUUCCCUGAGCCGUACUCGCGAAACGGACUCUGUCCCCGAAUCGGGGGUGAGCAAAUGAAAUUGCCUAGUAGGUUUGGUGCGAACCGGCGAAAUAGGGUAGACCCCGAACCCUUUCCUACCUUAAAGCAGGAGAACUAAUUGUUGGUCCGCCGGGGAUCUAAGACACUAACCAACCAUAAUGUUUUUAUUGUUGUUAUAGUGAUGAUAACCUACCAAGCCUUUACAGCGUUCGUUUUGGAUCGUUCUUCCACACCUUUAACCGGCCCAAGGGGAACGGGCACCACUCCUAAGAAUCCUGCGGGCGGCUACUAUUCGCAAAUUGUGGACCAUGGGGGCAACCCCUCACCCCCGCCUUGCAAGAGUGGCGAAGAAGGCAUUAAGGCUUCAAACGCGUUUGGGGCGAGGACGCAGUUUAUUCUAGUCAAUACCUAGAGGUAGUGGACGCUACUAGCAGAAUAAGCACUUGCUUAAUUCAGCGCCAGCAGCCGCGGUAAUACAGAGGGUGCGAGCGUUAAUCGGAUGUACUGUGCGUAAAGCGUGCGUAGGCGGCUUAUUAAGUCGGAUGUGAAAUCCCCGAGCUUAACUUGGGAAUUGCAUUCGAUACUGGUGAGCUAGAGUAUGGGAGAGGAUGGUAGAAUUCCAGGUGUAGCGGUGAAAUGCGUAGAGAUCUGGAGGAAUACCGAUGGCGAAGGCAGCCAUCUGGCCUAAUACUGACGCUGAGGUACGAAAGCAUGGGGAGCAAACAGGAUUAGAUACCCUGGUAGUCCAUGCCGUAAACGAUGUCUACUAGCCGUUGGGGCCUUUGAGGCUUUAGUGGCGCAGCUAACGCGAUAAGUAGACCGCCUGGGGAGUACGGUCGCAAGACUAAAACUCAAAUGAAUUGACGGGGGCCCGCACAAGCGGUGGAGCAUGUGGUUUAAUUCGAUGCAACGCGAAGAACCUUACCUGGCCUUGACAUACUAGAAACUUUCCAGAGAUGGAUUGGUGCCUUCGGGAAUCUAGAUACAGGUGCUGCAUGGCUGUCGUCAGCUCGUGUCGUGAGAUGUUGGGUUAAGUCCCGCAACGAGCGCAACCCUUUUCCUUACUUGCCAGCAUUUCGGAUGGGAACUUUAAGGAUACUGCCAGUGACAAACUGGAGGAAGGCGGGGACGACGUCAAGUCAUCAUGGCCCUUACGGCCAGGGCUACACACGUGCUACAAUGGUCGGUACAAAGGGUUGCUACACAGCGAUGUGAUGCUAAUCUCAAAAAGCCGAUCGUAGUCCGGAUUGGAGUCUGCAACUCGACUCCAUGAAGUCGGAAUCGCUAGUAAUCGCGGAUCAGAAUGCCGCGGUGAAUACGUUCCCGGGCCUUGUACACACCGCCCGUCACACCAUGGGAGUUUGUUGCACCAGAAGUAGCUAGCCUAACUGCAAAGAGGGCGGUUACCACGGUGUGGCCGAUGACUGGGGUGAAGUCGAAUCAACGUCGUCAGG
rnacentral:rRNA from 1 species